rnacentral:rRNA from 1 species
CACGUAGGGGCCAAGCGUUGUCCGGAUUUAUUGGGCGUAAAGAGCUCGUAGGCGGUUCGACAAGUCGGGUGUGAAAACUCCGGGCUCAACCCGGAGACGCCACCCGAUACUGUCGUGGCUAGAGUCCGGUAGGGGCCCACGGAACUCCUGGUGUAGCGGUGAAAUGCGCAGAUAUCAGGAAGAACACCGAUGGCGAAGGCAGUGGGCUGGGCCGGUACUGACGCUGAGGAGCGAAAGCGUGGGGAGCGAACAGG